CUGUCGGCUGACGGCUGUCGCCCAGCGCCGGAGCGCCCCAAGUCCCCAACCGGCCAACCCAUACGCGGAGACGCCAAGCCCAGUCACUCCCUCUCGCGGUCGCGGGUCGCGUCACGCGGUCGGCAGUCGUCUCCUGGCUGCAGGCUGCUCGCUCGCUCGUGUGGACUGCUGGCUCAUCGUUGAUCAACAAAGCAAGUUGCAAGCGGUGAAAGCGACUGCGCUGGUGUCUCUGUCCGGCUAGCUCAAGCUCCUCGCUCCUGCGGCUACAAGGUAAUGAAGUUGAUGUUUUUUAUUUUAUCGAUCUACUCAUUAAUCUAUAUUCCAUAUUUCUAGUAGGACCAUGACAGGGAGAGAUGAAAGCUCCGACCGUAGUUCGGCGUGCUUGUUGUUGGGAACACCGGCUCUACUAGCUGCUCUUAGAACUGCUGCUCACUUCUGGAUAAAUUAUCAGUUAAUUAGUAUGCUUGUAUGUGACAUGAGUGUAGAUAUAAUUUCUCACUCAAAUAAUGUCACUAUGUAAUUAUGUUGAUGCUAUAAACUUAAUAUAUAUUAAUGUUUGAAUUAAGGCAU
rnacentral:lncRNA from 1 species